rnacentral:rRNA from 1 species
GCGAACGCUGGCGGCGUGCUUAACACAUGCAAGUCGAGCGGUAAGGCCCUUCGGGGUACACGAGCGGCGAACGGGUGAGUAACACGUGGGUGAUCUGCCCUGCACUUCGGGAUAAGCCUGGGAAACUGGGUCUAAUACCGGAUAUGACCAAAGGCUGCAUGGCUUUUGGUGGAAAGGUUUACUGGUGCAGGAUGGGCCCGCGGCCUAUCAGCUUGUUGGUGGGGUAAUGGCCUACCAAGGCGACGACGGGUAGCCGACCUGAGAGGGUGACCGGCCACACUGGGACUGAGACACGGCCCAGACUCCUACGGGAGGCAGCAGUGGGGAAUAUUGCACAAUGGGCGAAAGCCUGAUGCAGCGACGCCGCGUGAGGGAUGAAGGCCUUCGGGUUGUAAACCUCUUUCAGCAGGGACGAAGCGCAAGUGACGGUACCUGCAGAAGAAGCACCGGCUAACUACGUGCCAGCAGCCGCGGUAAUACGUAGGGUGCGAGCGUUGUCCGGAAUUACUGGGCGUAAAGAGUUCGUAGGCGGUUUGUCGCGUCGUCUGUGAAAACCCAYYGCUCAACGAUGSGCCGGCAGGCGAUACGGGCAGACUUGAGUACUGCAGGGGAGACUGGAAUUCCUGGUGUAGCGGUGAAAUGCGCAGAUAUCAGGAGGAACACCGGUGGCGAAGGCGGGUCUCUGGGCAGUAACUGACGCUGAGGAACGAAAGCGUGGGUAGCAAACAGGAUUAGAUACCCUGGUAGUCCACGCCGUAAACGGUGGGCGCUAGGUGUGGGUUCCUUCCACGGGAUCUGUGCCGUAGCUAACGCAUUAAGCGCCCCGCCUGGGGAGUACGGCCGCAAGGCA